GAUGAACGCUGGCUACAGGCUUAACACAUGCAAGUCGAGGGGAAACGACGGGGAAGCUUGCUUCCCCGGGCGUCGACCGGCGCACGGGUGAGUAACGCGUAUCCAACCUGCCUCUGACUGAGGGAUAACCCGUCGAAAGUCGGCCUAAUACCUCAUGGCAUCGUCUGCGGGCAUCCAACGACGAUUAAAGAUUUCAUCGGUCAGGGAUGGGGAUGCGUCUGAUUAGCUUGUUGGCGGGGUAACGGCCCACCAAGGCGACGAUCAGUAGGGGUUCUGAGAGGAAGGUCCCCCACAUUGGAACUGAGACACGGUCCAAACUCCUACGGGAGGCAGCAGUGAGGAAUAUUGGUCAAUGGGCGGGAGCCUGAACCAGCCAAGUAGCGUGCAGGAUGACGGCCCUAUGGGUUGUAAACUGCUUUUAUGCGGGGAUAAAGUGAGGGACGUGUCCUUCAUUGCAGGUACCGCAUGAAUAAGGACCGGCUAAUUCCGUG
rnacentral:rRNA from 1 species